CACGCGGCGGCCUCCCGGCCUCCCCAAGUCCGGGGUGGGGGGGCGCGUACCAAGAGGGACGCCAACGAAGCGGCCGAGGGGAAGGAAUGACUGCGCGGGAGGUACAAAGUUAAUAUCCACAUAGCAAAAAUUUGUCAGUGCCUCUACUUAAUAACAAGUCUGAUGUGUAAGACCUGGCAUGAAAGUGUCCUGUGCAGUGCAGGUCCACAAUGGAGUUCGAUAAAUGUUAUUGAGCCUUAAAACUUUUUGGGGUUAUAGACCCCUUGGGAAUCUGAUGGAAGCUUUUCAUUCCACCACUCAGGCAUUGAUUCAAUAAGCAUUCAUUUUACAUCUCCUUGGUGCCAGGCUCUGUUCUGCAGAUGGGGGCUACAAUGGUAGACAAAUUAUAUAGGAUCCCUGUCCUUCUGGAGCUACAAUCUGGCUAUGGACCCUCUUCCUAAAAAACUGCACGUUCAGCUAAAUGUUACAUGCAAUUUCAAUCACUGGGACCUGAAUCCUCUGCGAGCCCACCCUUGGACAAGAAGCACUGGCUGUUUAAUGGGAUUCCCUCUGUCCUAGUUGGAGCCAGUUUUGUGUUCUGUUUCACAUAAAAACUUAUUGAUAAAAUUGUUUCUUCCUUCCCCUUUUGCUACUUGGUUUUUAUCCUAUGUUAUUCAUCCAUUCAGUCAACCAAUUCAUUCAUUCAACAAACAUUUCAACACUUGCUAAAUGCCAGGCCCCUGGUUAGGCGCUGAGGGAAGCCCCAUUUCUUAGCACUGAAAAGCUUUAAUGAAAGAGACAGAUACAAAAGAAAUUUUGAUACACCCUCAUACAUAGGUAAUGGGAAUGUAAAAUGGUGCAGCCACUGUGGAAGACAGUUUGGUGGUUUCUAAGAUAAACAUAGAAAUUACCUUGGGAUUCAGUAAUUCCACUCCCAGGUAUAUUCCUGAAAGAAUUGAAAACAGGUGUUCAAACAAAAACUUGUACACAAGUGUUCAUAGCAGAACUAUUCACAAUAGCCAAAAGUUGGAAACAAUCCACAUGUCCAUCAACCAGUAAAUGGAUAAACAAAAGCUACUGUAGCCACACGAUGGAAUAUUAUUCAGCCAUAAAAAGGAAAAAAGUACCGAUACAUGCUACAACACGGAUGAACUUACAGAUGAACUUUGAAACUACUAUGCUAAGUGAUAGAAGCCAGACACAAAGGACCACAUAUUGUAAUUUUCCAUUAUAUAAAAUAUCCAGAAUAGAAUCUUUUCCCAAAAAUCACCUCCUCAGACUUGAAGAGACAUUUCUCCAAAGAGGAUAUUCAGAUGGCCAGCACAUGAAAAGAUGCUCAAUGUCAUUAGACAUUAAAAACCCAUUAGAAAAAAAAUUGCUGUUGAGUCAAUUCUGACUCAUAGCGACCCUAUAGGAGAGAGUAGAACCACCCCAUUGGGUUUCCAAGGAGCGGCUGGUGGAUUCAAACUGCUAACCUUUUGGAUAGCAGCCGAACAGAAGAUGCAAAUCAAAAUCACAAUGAGAUACCACAUCACCCCUAUCAAAAUGGCAAUGAUCAAAAAGAUGGAAAACAAGUGUUAAUGAGGUUGUAGAGAAACUGGAACCUUUAUCCAUUGCUGGCUGGACUGUAAAAUGGUACAGCUGCUGUGGAAAACAGUUUAUCAGUUCCUCAAAAAGUUGAACAUAGAAUUACCAUGUGAUCCAACAAUCCCAAUCCUAGGUAUAUACCCAGAAGUGAAAGCAGGAACACAAACAGAAGUCUGUACACGAAUGUUCACUGCAAUACUUUUCACAAUAGCCAAAAGGUAGAAACAGCUGAAAUGUUCAUCAACAUAAAUGAAUAAACAAAAGGUGGUAUAUACACACAAUGAAAUACUACUCAGCCAUAAAGAGAAAUGAAGUCCUGAUGCAUGUCAUAAUAUAAAUGAAUCCUGAAAACAUCAUGCUGAGCAAAAUAUGUCAGUCGCAAAAGCACAAAUAUUGUAAUGUUUCACUUAUAUGAAAUAAGCAAAUACAUGGAAACGAAAGAUUAUUAGUGGUUCCCAGGAGUGGGAGGAAGAAUAAAGUUUUUGCUUAGGGAGCAUUGAGUUUAUGUUAAUGGUGGUGAAAUAAUUUGGAAAAGAAUUGCAAGAAUGGUUGUAUCACAAUGUCACUGAAUUAUACAUGUAGAAAUUGUUAAAUUGGCAAAUGUUUGUUGUGUAUAUUUCACUACAAUUAAAAAUAAAAGUUAUGUGAAAAAAAAGUUUUGAUGAGGCCUAU